rnacentral:rRNA from 1 species
UGGGGAAUAUUGCACAAUGGGCGCAAGCCUGAUGCAACAACGCCGCGUGAGGGAUGACGGCCUUCGGGUUGUAAACCUCUUUUGUCAGGGAAGAAGCCUUCGGGUGACGGUACCUGGAGAAAAAGCACCGGCUAACUACGUGCCAGCAGCCGCGGUAAUACGUAGGGUGCAAGCGUUGUCCGGAAUUAUUGGGCGUAAAGAGCUCGUAGGCGGCUUGUCGCGUCUGCUGUGAAAACCCGAGGCUCAACCUCGGGCCUGCAGUGGGUACGGGCAGGCUAGAGUGCGGUAGGGGAGAUUGGAAUUCCUGGUGUAGCGGUGGAAUGCGCAGAUAUCAGGAGGAACACCGAUGGCGAAGGCAGAUCUCUGGGCCGUAACUGACGCUGAGGAGCGAAAGCAUGGGGAGCGAACA